AUGUGGCAGGUGUGGGCGGGCCUGUCCCCCUCAGCCAUGUGGCAGGUGUGGGCGGGUCUGUCCCCCUCAACUAGUGGCAGGUGUGGGCGGUCCUUUCCUCCUCAGCUAUGUGACAGGUGUGUGCAGGUCUGUCCCCCUCAGCUAUGUGGUAGGUGUGUGCGAGUCUCUCCCCCUCAGCUAUGUGGCAGGUGUGUGCGGGUCGGUCCCCCUCAGCUAUGUGGCAGGUGUGUGGGUCUGUCCCCCUCAGCCAUGUGGCAGGUGUGUGCGAGUCUCUCCCCCUUAGCUAUGUGGCAGGUGUGUGCGGGUCGGUCCCCCUCAGCUAUGUGGCAGGUGUGUGCGGGUCGGUCCCCCUUAGCUAUGUGGCAGGUGUGUGCGGGUCUGUCCCCCUCAGCCAUGUGGCAGGUGUGGGCAGGCCUGUCCCCCUCAGCCAUGUGGCAGGUGUGUGCGGGUCGGUCCCCCUCAGCCAUGUGGCAGGUGUGGGCGGGCCUGUCCCCCUCAGCCAUGUGGCAGGUGUGGGCGGGCCUGUCCUCCUCAGCUAUGUGGCAGGUGUGGGCGGGCCUGGCCCCCUCAGCUAUGUGGCAGGUGUGGGCGGGGCCGCCCCAGGUGAAUCAGGUAACAAAGAAGCAGGGGGCAGAGGUGACCUUCCUCCCCCUGUGCACGGCCCAGCCUGGGCUCCCCGCCUCCCUGCAGCCUUGCCUCAGAGCUGCCCCUUCGGGCCACGCUGGAACAUCAAACAUGGGAUUUUGUUUGCUGACUUGGAUUAGUAACAAGGCCUCUCCCUGACCUUCUCCCUGCACGGUAAUAAAGGGAAAGGACGAACUUAAAGUGGAAUUGCACCGGUUUCCCGGACGGAUCACUAGGCUUUACCGGGAACACCUCCCCUGAGCAUCGCUGCCUGCAGUGGGGGAGGACGUCUACCCCAGCCCCACCUUUGGCACUUUUGCCUCAGGGCAGGUGGGCUCCCUACGGUGUGAGAGCCAGCCUGGACUGGUCGCUAGGAGCCCCUGCCAGGGCAAGAGGGGCACUGGUACUGGAGCCCAUGUGGUCAGGUGCCUUCACUGAAGGAUGCGGAGGGGCCGUCAGGUUCCUUAGCCAAUGGCCAGCUGUUUUUAGGGUGUGCAGAGAACAAGGAGGAGCUUCGAGGCCUGCCCCGCAGGACAUCAUUCCGGAUAGUAGAGCCCCUCACUUACCUCAGCCCCAGUUCCCAGAGUUGGUCUGUGGAAAGAUCAGACCAGAGUUUCUUCUCCACUGGGUUGACUCAGCUUUUCCCUAACUCCACUUGCAUUAUGUCUGUCCCUGCUGAUGUUCUCUACCCCCCUCCUCUCUGCCUCUAGCUUCUGCUGCCUUUGCGGGGGGCGGGGGGGGGGGGGGGAGGGCGGGGGGACCUUUGGUACCACCCUACUGUCAUUUGCCCUGUGCAUACCCCACUGACUCCCCAACAGUGGUGGCUCACGGGCUCAGCCUGUCACCCUAACAACGUCCCCAGGUCAACCAGUGCCUGAAGCCACGCACGCCGAGUGACACGGUAGAACAUGCCUGGGUGUGGGCACCCCGGAUGUGCCAGGCCGCAUGUGGCACGGAGAACAUAGCUGUGAGACGGAAACAACGCAAGCUUCAGGAGCCAUGGACCGUGCUUUCCACGGGAGGUCAGAGGACUGAUGAGAAACCAAGUAAAAAGUGAAACACGGGAGACAUGUUGGCUAAUGUGAGGGGCAACCACGCCAGUCCCAGGUUAGGGAGGGCCGGCAGCAGGGCCUGGAGGUGCAGGUCGAGCAAGGUGCCAGGCAGGUCCGCGCGAGAGUGACAGCAACGGGUGUGUCGUGCAGGA
rnacentral:lncRNA from 1 species